GACGAACGCUGGCGGCGUGCCUAAUACAUGCAAGUCGAGCGGACUUGUAGGAGCUUGCCCCUGCAAGUUAGCGGCGGACGGGUGAGUAACACGUGGGCAACCUGCCUGUAAGACUGGGAUAACUUCGGGAAACCGGAGCUAAUACCGGAUGCUACUUAGGAACUCCUGUUCCUUAGUUGAAAGAUGGCUUCGGCUAUCACUUACAGAUGGGCCCGCGGCGCAUUAGCUAGUUGGUGAGGUAACGGCUCACCAAGGCGACGAUGCGUAGCCGACCUGAGAGGGUGAUCGGCCACACUGGGACUGAGACACGGCCCAGACUCCUACGGGAGGCAGCAGUAGGGAAUCUUCCGCAAUGGACGAAAGUCUGACGGAGCAACGCCGCGUGAGCGAUGAAGGCCUUCGGGUCGUAAAGCUCUGUUGUUAGGGAAGAACAAGUGCUAGUUGAAUAAGCUGGCACCUUGACGGUACCUAACCAGAAAGCCACGGCUAACUACGUGC
rnacentral:rRNA from 1 species